rnacentral:rRNA from 1 species
GACGAACGCUGGCGGCGUGCUUAACACAUGCAAGUCGAACGAUGAAGAAAAGAAUCGAAGCUUCGGCAGAAAUUCAUUUCGGAUUAGUGGCAGACGGGUGAGUAACGCGUGAGCAACCUACCUCUUACAAAGGGAUAGCCUCGGGAAACCGGGAUUAAUACCAUAUAACAUUGUGACGAAGCAUUUCGAUGCAAUCAAAGCUACGGCGGUAAGAGAUGGGCUCGCGUCCCAUUAACCGGAUGGUGAGGUAACGGCUCACCAUAGUGACGAUGGGUAACCGGCCUGAGAGGGUGAACGGUCACACUGGAAGUGAGACACGGUCCAGACUCCUACGGGAGGCAGCAGAGGGGAAUAUUGCACAAUGGAGGGAACUCUGAUGCAGCGACGCCGCGUGAGUGAUGAAGGAAUUCGUUUCGUAAAACUCUGUUCUAUGGGAAGAAAAGGACUGUACCAUAGGAGAAAGCUCCGGCUAAAUACGUG